rnacentral:rRNA from 1 species
GACAGAGGGUGCAAACGUUGCUCGGAAUCAUUGGGCGUAAAGCGCGUGUAGGCGGCCCGGUAAGUCCGCUGUGAAAGUCGGGGGCUCAACCCUCGGAAGCCGGUGGAUACUGUCGGGCUCGAGUACGGAAGAGGCGAGUGGAAUUCCUGGUGUAGCGGUGAAAUGCGCAGAUAUCAGGAGGAACACCAAUUGCGAAGGCAGCUCGCUGGGACGUAACCGACGCUGAGACGCGAAAGCGUGGGGAGCAAACAGG